UCAGGAGCAGCCAGACUGACCAAUGAGCAGAGCUUUCCUUGCAGCAGACUUCCUGUUUGCUUAGCAGUGAUGGUUGAAGGCAGCAGAAGCUGGCGAUGCUGACGGGUUUGUGGUAAACCUCCAGGCAGAUGGGGCAGGAGAACUGGCUCUCUACGCCCUCAGGGGGGGCCGCCAGGGGCCCGGGGCCGCUGUUGGACUGCUGCUGCUGCUGGCGGAGCUGGGUGCUCCCCGACACAAAGCUCCGAAACAUCGCCAUCAUGGAGCCGAAGAGGAGCCCAGCUGUCGACAAAAGCGAGGAAGAGUUCAAUCCGGAGAGCGACUAGAGCAUAAUCCGGACAGCUGAGGGGAGAGAAUGUCCUAAACUAGCAGCUGACUAAAGAUGAAGGAUAGAGAUGCUUCCUGGCCUGAGAAGUCUGGCUGUUUCCCUCUGCUGGAGGAGACAUGCUAGAGAGGUAAACAUUGGAAGCGACUGAAGGCACGACGCUGCGAUGCUUGACCUCAAUUAAAACAUCUGAGCUCCAAACGCGAGGAUAACAGCAGAGGAUGCAUCCGGAUGGCUUUGAGAUCUGCGCUCAGGAGCGAGACGAACGGAGGCUCGCGAGGUUUCACCGGGCGCUCUGCGCGCAUCGCAUUCUGGGAAAUGGGGUACCGCCGACCCGCUGCUGACAACCUGGAACAGCUUUUCUCCCCAUAGAUCUACCCUAUGGAACAAAAGAGUAAUAACAAUUAAUUGUAAAUCUAUCCUCAAAAAGGAAUGGUUCAUCAAAGACAUUAGCUGCCAUUAAUUCACUUGAUUAAAAAUGCUAGGUUAUACAAUAAUUACCCACCAAUAUUGCCCAACUUGUUGAUUUCACAGUGCAUUCUGUUUGAUUAAAAAAUUCAAUGAUAA